UAUUCUACAUCUUGUACAUGAGUGGGUUUUGGAAGUAAGCAUAGCAUAAUUCCAUAAGACUAGUUCAUGAGUAAUCCAACAUUGUUCACAAGACACAUUAUCAACAUGGAUGACAUUGAAUCAUAGAGGCCCAUCAUGAAUCCUUCACUUAGUCACAAUUUAGCUAUAAUACAUGAUUUCUAGUCUCUUAGGUAUUUUAUCAACCACCUUAUAUACAAUCUUUAAGGCAUAGGUGUAUUCACAAACUUACACCACUUUAAUCCACCCCAAUUCAUAGGUUCCAACUAAUGAUCACAAUCUUCAUGGAAGUUCAUCAAAUUCCCACUCUAUAACAUAAACCACAAACAACAACAUGAAUAAAACCAUAUCACCACAAAACAUUCAUGAUUUUGUUAUCAAAGAUUGAUUCUUGAACUCCACGAACGAAAGGGAUCCGUGGAUGAACACUACGCAUACCUUAAUGGCGAUGAAAUUGUUGAAUGAUUGGACCUUCAAGCUUGAUUAUGCAACCCUAGUAGUUUUUCUCCUUUUUGUGCUCUUGGAUAAUGAACUUAAGAUGUUAAUAGGGUUGUAAUGUGAUUAGAAGCUAUAAAUUUUAUGAGUUUAAGUAUUGGGACGUGUAAGGAGUGUUAAAAGACUUAAUUAUCCUCAAAAUAACUUAAAAACUAAGUAUUUUUUGUGGCUGAAAUCAUAAGUGUGCGUCGCACACCUCAUCACACAUGCUAAGGUGUGCGCCGCACAUCCUAUCACAUAAGCUAAGGUGUGCGUUGUACAUGCUAUCACACACUUGAGGGUGUGCGCCACACAACCCGUCGCACACUUGUUCCAGUAGCCAUGUGCGAUUGUUUAUGCAUCGCACUCCCACUUUGCAGGGCCAUAACUUCUUGAUCGGAUGUUAGAUUUUUAUAAAAUUGGAAUCGUUGGAAAGAUGAUUCGAUUCUCUACAAUUUGGUGGGUAUAAAUCUGCCAAAAUGUCACAUAUAAAUCAAGUUAUCCUCGUUCAAAGAUCACUCUUGUGGAAACACACACUAAAGCUUGAUGGAUCCAAAAGCUAUUAGCUUUCCUUACUCUGAGUGACUCGCAUGAGCAUGCUUAACACAUCAUAAGCUAUCUUAUCUCUAGGAUUCUAAUUGUAAAUCAUGUACUCAAAUAUGAAUCAUUGGAUAUAAGGUUUCAUACGUCAGAGAACUGAUUUAUUUCCUCUCUUGGAAAUAUAUGGGGUAUUACAUAUAAGUCGGAGGAACCCAGACAGAUAGCUCAUUUCGAGUAUACUCUAAAAGGGAAUUGGAUUAAAAUUCUUAAAUCGGGAUAUGGUGGUCGACCACAAUGUUAGGAAGUCCGAAGAUGUUGGUGAGAGCCUUAGAAAGAGUUAUCUUUUCUGCUUAACAACCUGCCCACCCUAGAAUUAGCUUAGUCAGAGGUAGGGUCUAGCGGUUGGAAGAGCACCGCAUGUCGCAUGGUGUUCAGUACUCUCCUGAUGGCCCUUAAAAAUUUAGAAGACCAAAUGCCAUCCAUGCUCAGUCAUAAUCUUAACCGCAUCAGGUCUCCAAGGUGAACAAGCUCUGGUCGAUGGAAUAUUGUAGGCAAGGGAAGUCAGCAAAAUGGAUCCGCAACUUCGGGAAAAGGAUUGGCUCUAAGGGCUGUACACGGGGGUUUCAGCCCUAAACCCAUCGGAUGUCGGUGGACUGCUUGAGCAGCUUCUGUGGCGAGAUCGGGUCAUCACGUGUCGUCCAGGGAACAGACUGGGAACGGUUCUUUUGAGGGCCUUCCCUACACGUUGAAUAUCCCACUCAAAACUGGUACGGACAAGGGGAAUUCGACUGUUUAAUUAAAAAAAAGAAUUGCAAUGGCCCCAAUAUAUAUUCAUGCAAUGUGAGUUUUUCCUAGUGUUCUAAAUGUCAAAGUGAAGAAAUGCAACCAAGCGCGGUAAACAGUAAGAGUAACUAUGAAUCUCUUAAGGUAGCCAAAUUCCUUGUCAUCUAAUUAGUCACGUACAUGAAUGGAUUAAUGAGAUUCCCACUAUCCCUAUCUACUAUCCAGCAAAACCACAGCAAAGGGAAUGGUCUUAGCUAAAUCAAUGGGGAAAAAAGACCUUUUUGAACUUCACUCUAGUUCGACUUUGUGAAAUGACUUGAGAGGUAUAGUAUAAGUGGGAUACAAAAGGCAAAAUUUAAAUACCAUUACUUUUAACGUUAUUUUACUUAUUUUGUGAAUUGGAAGUGGGGCACUGCCCUUCUUUUUAAACCCAAGGCUAGCUCUGCAGGUCGAUCCGGGUGGAAGACAUUGUCAAGUGAGGUGUUUGGUUGGGGCGGCACAUCUUCUAAAAGAUAACGUAGGUGUCCUAAGAUCUGCUCAACGAGAACAUAAAUAUCGUAUGGAACAGAAGGGUAAAAACUUAUUUGAUUCUGAUUUAUAGUAUGAAUACAAACUGUAAAAGCGUGGCCUAACAAUUCUUUAGACCUUCAGAAUUCGAAGCAAGAGGUGUCAAAAAAAUUACCACCAGGAUAACUGGCUUAUGACAGUCAAGUGCUAAUAGUGACGUUGCUUUUUGAUCCUUCGAUGUUGGCUCUUUCUAUCAUUGUGAAGCAUAAUUCACCAAGUGUUGGAUCGUUCACCCACUAAUAGGGAAUGUAAGAUGGGUUUAGACCAUCGUUAGACAAUUUAGUUUUACCCUACUGAUGAUUGUGACACAAUUGUAAUUCAACCUAGUAUGAGAGAAACAAUUGAUUCAAAUAAUUGGGCAUCGCGCUUGGUUGAAAAGCCAAUGGCGUGAAGCUACUACGUGCUGGAUUAUGGCUGAAUGAAGUCAGAAUCUGGGCUAAGCGAUGCAUAUGCCUGCCAUUUACUUGACGAGCCGCAGUAGGGAUCUCGGCCCCCAAGGGCACAUGUCAUUGGCUAAGACAUCAUAGCGAAAGGGUCACGGUGGCCUCCUUGAAGUACAAUUUUAUCGAGUGGUGGCUAGAAUCCUUUGCAGAUAACUUAAAUAUGCGACAGGGUUUUCUAAGUGGUAGAAUGGCCUUGUGUAAGGACC
rnacentral:rRNA from 1 species